GGGGGUGUAGCUCAGCGGUAGAGCGCGUGCUUAGCAUGCACGAGGCCCUGGGUUCGAUCCCCAGCACCUCCA
rnacentral:tRNA from 1 species